rnacentral:rRNA from 1 species
AUGCAUGUGUAAGCGAAGCGUAAGUGGAGCGGCGUAAGGCUCAGUAACGGGCGAUUAUUUGAUCUCUCUCGGUGGAUAUCCUCUGUAAACGGAGGGCAAAACACAGAAGAGGCGGUGGUUACAUCGUCUGUUUAACGGAUAGUGAGAGAGAGUAAGAUGCCAUCCCAUCAGUUAGUAAGUAGGGUAAGGGCCUACUUAGACGAAGACGGGUACGGGGAAUUAUCGUUUGAUUCCGGAGAGGGAGCCUGAGAGACGGCUACCAGGUCCAAGGACAGCAGCAGGCGCGAAAAUUACCGCAGCCUGCAUUCAGGGCGGUAGUAAGGAGACGUGAAUACGAUGUGCAGGUAAAUGAUGCACUAAAUACAGGAGGACAAGACUGGUGCCAGCACCCGCGGUAAUACCAGCUCCUGGAGUGUCUAUGAUGAUUGCUGCAGUUAAAGAGUUCGUAGUCGGAGCGUUUUGACCGGCGUGACAGACUGCCACUCAAGGGGAGUUUUGCGCCGUGAUUACGCGGAAUGAGGAGCGUCUAGGGGCCAGGUUAUUAAGCGACGAGGGGUGAAAUCUGGUGACUCGCUUAGGAGCGACAGAGGCGAAAGCGCUGGCCAGGGGCGAAUCCGAUGAUAAAGGACGUAGGCUAGAGGAUCGAAGACGAUUAGAGACCGUUGUAGUUCUAGCAGUAAACGAUGCCGAUGCCGUGGUGCUUUGUGAGCGACGCGGAAGAGAAAUCUAGUAGGGCCCUGGGGAGAGUACGCGCGCAAGCGAGAAAUUUAAAGGAAAUUGACGGAAGAACACCACAAGGAGUGGAGUGUGCGGCUUAAUUUGACUCAACGCGGGACAGCUUACCAGGCCCGACGGCCGGACGAGUGUGGUACACGAUAGGCCGGAGAGUGGUGCAUGGCCGUUAACGACGAGUGGGGUGACCUUAGGGUUAAGUCCGGGAAGUAGUGAGACCCCUGCCAAGGACAGGUGCUGCAAGGCACAGGAAGGAAGGGUCAAGAACAGGUCAGUGAUGCCCUUAGAUGGUCUGGGCUGCACGCGCACUACAGUGGUUUCCAGAAUUGUGUUGUAGAGGUAAUGGAGAUCGAGAGGGAAUGAGCUUUGGAAGAGGCUCAGGAACGAGGAAUUGCUAGUAAUCGCGGACUCAUUAAGACGCGAUGAAUACGUCCCUGUUCUUUGUACACACCGCCCGUCGUUAUCGAAGAUGGAGUCAGGCGCGAACAAGCGAGAGCGAGGA